rnacentral:rRNA from 1 species
AUUGAACGCUGGCGGCAGGCCUAACACAUGCAAGUCGAACGGUAGCACAGAGAGCUUGCUCUCGGGUGACGAGUGGCGGACGGGUGAGUAAUGUCUGGGAAACUGCCCGAUGGAGGGGGAUAACUACUGGAAACGGUAGCUAAUACCGCAUAACGUCGCAAGACCAAAGUGGGGGACCUUCGGGCCUCACACAAUCGGAUGUGCCCAGAUGGGAUUAGCUAGUAGGUGGGGUAAUGGCUCACCUAGGCGACGAUCCCUAGCUGGUCUGAGAGGAUGACCAGCCACACUGGAACUGAGACACGGUCCAGACUCCUACGGGAGGCAGCAGUGGGGAAUAUUGCACAAUGGGCGCAAGCCUGAUGCAGCCAUGCCGCGUGUAUGAAGAAGGCCUUCGGGUUGUAAAGUACUUUCAGCGGGGAGGAAGGCGGUGAAGUUAAUAGCUUCACCGAUUGACGUUACCCGCAGAAGAAGCACCGGCUAGCUCCGUGCCAGCCGCCGCAGUAA